rnacentral:rRNA from 1 species
UCAAGUGAAGAAGCGCAUACGGUGGAUGCCUUGGCAGUCAGAGGCGAUGAAAGACGUGGUAGCCUGCGAAAAGCUUCGGGGAGUCGGCAAACAGACUUUGAUCCGGAGAUCUCUGAAUGGGGGAACCCACCUAGGAUAACCUAGGUAUCUUGUACUGAAUCCAUAGGUGCAAGAGGCGAACCAGGGGAACUGAAACAUCUAAGUACCCUGAGGAAAAGAAAUCAACCGAGAUUCCCUUAGUAGUGGCGAGCGAACGGGGAUUAGCCCUUAAGCUUCAUUGAUUUUAGCGGAACGCUCUGGAAAGUGCGGCCAUAGUGGGUGAUAGCCCCGUACGCGAAAGGAUCUUUGAAGUGAAAUCGAGUAGGACGGAGCACGAGAAACUUUGUCUGAACAUGGGGGGACCAUCCUCCAAGGCUAAAUACUACUGACUGACCGAUAGUGAACCAGUACCGUGAGGGAAAGGCGAAAAGAACCCCGGAGAGGGGAGUGAAAUAGAACCUGAAACCGUAUGCGUACAAGCAGUGGGAGCCUACUUGUUAGGUGACUGCGUACCUUUUGUAUAAUGGGUCAGCGACUUAUAUUCAGUGGCAAGCUUAACCGUAUAGGGUAGGCGUAGCGAAAGCGAGUCUUAAUAGGGCGUUUAGUCGCUGGGUAUAGACCCGAAACCGGGCGAUCUAUCCAUGAGCAGGUUGAAGGUUAGGUAACACUGACUGGAGGACCGAACCCACUCCCGUUGAAAAGGUAGGGGAUGACUUGUGGAUCGGAGUGAAAGGCUAAUCAAGCUCGGAGAUAGCUGGUUCUCCUCGAAAGCUAUUUAGGUAGCGCCUCAUGUAUCACUCUGGGGGGUAGAGCACUGUUUCGGCUAGGGGGUCAUCCCGACUUACCAAACCGAUGCAAACUCCGAAUACCCAGAAGUGCCGAGCAUGGGAGACACACGGCGGGUGCUAACGUCCGUCGUGAAAAGGGAAACAACCCAGACCGCCAGCUAAGGUCCCAAAGUUGUGGUUAAGUGGUAAACGAUGUGGGAAGGCUUAGACAGCUAGGAGGUUGGCUUAGAAGCAGCCAUCCUUUAAAGAAAGCGUAAUAGCUCACUAGUCGAGUCGGCCUGCGCGGAAGAUGUAACGGGGCUCAAACCACACACCGAAGCUGCGGGUGUCACGUAAGUGACGCGGUAGAGGAGCGUUCUGUAAGCCUGUGAAGGUGAGUUGAGAAGCUUGCUGGAGGUAUCAGAAGUGCGAAUGCUGACAUGAGUAACGACAAUGGGUGUGAAAAACACCCACGCCGAAAGACCAAGGGUUCCUGCGCAACGUUAAUCGACGCAGGGUUAGUCGGUUCCUAAGGCGAGGCUGAAAAGCGUAGUCGAUGGGAAACAGGUUAAUAUUCCUGUACUUCUGGUUACUGCGAUGGAGGGACGGAGAAGGCUAGGCCAGCUUGGCGUUGGUUGUCCAAGUUUAAGGUGGUAGGCUGAAAUCUUAGGUAAAUCCGGGGUUUCAAGGCCGAGAGCUGAUGACGAGUCGUCUUUUAGAUGACGAAGUGGUUGAUGCCAUGCUUCCAAGAAAAGCUUCUAAGCUUCAGGUAACCAGGAACCGUACCCCAAACCGACACAGGUGGUCGGGUAGAGAAUACCAAGGCGCUUGAGAGAACUCGGGUGAAGGAACUAGGCAAAAUGGCACCGUAACUUCGGGAGAAGGUGCGCCGGCUAGGGUGAAGGAUUUACUCCGUAAGCUCUGGCUGGUCGAAGAUACCAGGCCGCUGCGACUGUUUAUUAAAAACACAGCACUCUGCAAACACGAAAGUGGACGUAUAGGGUGUGACGCCUGCCCGGUGCCGGAAGGUUAAUUGAUGGGGUUAGCGCAAGCGAAGCUCUUGAUCGAAGCCCCGGUAAACGGCGGCCGUAACUAUAACGGUCCUAAGGUAGCGAAAUUCCUUGUCGGGUAAGUUCCGACCUGCACGAAUGGCGUAACGAUGGCGGCGCUGUCUCCACCCGAGACUCAGUGAAAUUGAAAUCGCUGUGAAGAUGCAGUGUAUCCGCGGCUAGACGGAAAGACCCCGUGAACCUUUACUGUAGCUUUGCACUGGACUUUGAGCCUGCUUGUGUAGGAUAGGUGGGAGGCUUUGAAGCGUGGACGCCAGUUCGCGUGGAGCCAUCCUUGAAAUACCACCCUGGCAUGCUUGAGGUUCUAACUCUGGUCCGUAAUCCGGAUCGAGGACAGUGUAUGGUGGGCAGUUUGACUGGGGCGGUCUCCUCCUAAAGAGUAACGGAGGAGUACGAAGGUGCGCUCAGACCGGUCGGAAAUCGGUCGCAGAGUAUAAAGGCAAAAGCGCGCUUGACUGCGAGACAGACACGUCGAGCAGGUACGAAAGUAGGUCUUAGUGAUCCGGUGGUUCUGUAUGGAAGGGCCAUCGCUCAACGGAUAAAAGGUACUCCGGGGAUAACAGGCUGAUACCGCCCAAGAGUUCAUAUCGACGGCGGUGUUUGGCACCUCGAUGUCGGCUCAUCACAUCCUGGGGCUGAAGCCGGUCCCAAGGGUAUGGCUGUUCGCCAUUUAAAGUGGUACGCGAGCUGGGUUUAGAACGUCGUGAGACAGUUCGGUCCCUAUCUGCCGUGGACGUUUGAGAUUUGAGAGGGGCUGCUCCUAGUACGAGAGGACCGGAGUGGACGAACCUCUGGUGUUCCGGUUGUCACGCCAGUGGCAUUGCCGGGUAGCUAUGUUCGGAAAAGAUAACCGCUGAAAGCAUCUAAGCGGGAAACUUGCCUCAAGAUGAGAUCUCACUGGGAACUUGAUUCCCCUGAAGGGCCGUCGAAGACUACGACGUUGAUAGGCUGGGUGUGUAAGCGUUGUGAGGCGUUGAGCUAACCAGUACUAAUUGCCCGUGAGGCUUGACCA